UAGGGAAUCUUCGGCAAUGGACGGAAGUCUGACCGAGCAAUGCCGCGUGAGUGAGGAAGGCCUUCGGGUCGUAAAGCUCUGUUGCCAGGGAAGCGGUACCUGAGAAGAAAGCCCCGGCUAACUACGUGCCAGCAGCCGCGGUAAUACGUAGGGGGCAAGCGUUGUCCGGAAUUAUUGGGCGUAAAGCGCGCGCAGGCGGCCAUGUAAGUCUUAUGUAUAAGCCCGGGGCUCAACCCCGGGAGGCAUGGGAAACUGGAUGGCUGGAGUGUAGGAGAGGAAAGUGGAAUUCCACGUGUAGCGGUGAAAUGCGUAGAGAUGUGGAGGAACACCAGUGGCGAAGGCGACUUUCUGGCCUAUAACUGACGCUGAGGCGCGAAAGCGUGGGGAGCAAACAGGAUUAGAUACCCCUGUAGU
rnacentral:rRNA from 1 species